UUGAGCACACCCUUCCCUUCCAAUCGCACAUCGUACAUCAUUGACCGAUUAGAAAAUCUUGUACCUUUGGCAGGAAUUGGUGAAUUGUUAGAAGACAAUGGGAACGACGAUAAAAUAGAAAAUAUUGCCAUUAACGCAAUUGUUGAAAUUGCAGAAGGUUUUGUUCAAAGAAUACAUAGGACAUGCAUAACCAAUUACAUUGAAAAUACAGUGCCUAUGUAUACAGAUAGAGAAUUUGUUAUGCAUUUUUGUUUGAAAAGAACGCUUUUUAUGAGUAUGGUAGAGAAAUUUAAUCAUUGACUAUAUUUUAGAAAUUUAGGAGGAAAUGGAGGAUUUAAGGUAGUUUCAGCUAAAAAACAUAUUCUCACUUUUUUAUGGUUUGCUGGCCAUCAAAGUGCUAGUUUCAGAGAUGUUGCUGACAGAUUCGAUCUCUCUCUUAGUACUCUUGAAUCUGUCUUACGGAGGGUUACACAGUUUUUGUAUGAUAUGAGGAAUAAAGUUAUUCGGUAUCCUACUGAAGUAAAGAAACAAAGAACGCAAAGAUACUAUCUUGAAAGUAAAGGUUUUCCAGGAGUAAUUGGAUGUAUUGACGGCUCACAUAUCCGUAUUGACAAACCUUCUGAAGACCCAGUGGCUUAUAUCAAUAGAAAGCAUUAUUUUUCUGUACACAUGCAAGGGACCGUUAAUAAACAGAAGAAGUUUUUAGAUGUAUUAAUUGGCUAUCCUGGUUCAGUGCACGAUGCAAGAGUAUUUGCAAAUUCCAGUUUGGCUGAAGAUUUGCCAAUAUUUUGUGGAAAUAUG